rnacentral:lncRNA from 1 species
CACAGUGCUCCCUGCUCAAAGCACAGCUUGUCUUUCCUUCAGUCAGCUGCCUCCACAAUCCUCUUCUCUGCCUUCUCUUUCUUCUCUCCCCUUCUCUGGCAUGUGUUUCAAGUGGGGUGAUGGUCGCACAAUUGUUCCAUGCUGUUUCGCAUGGGGGUGGGAUUAAGAAGAAAGCAUUGCCCUCUCUGGGCAAUUAUGUUGAUAAUUAGUGUCCUUCAGGAGUGAUCUGAGAGGACCCUUGCAACUCUGGACUAUCUAGUAGCUCAGGACUGCCAUGCUUCAAGACAAGUCAAACAUUCAGGAUGGUGGUGCUCAACCUUUUGGACACCUGGUCCUACGAAUCUACCUUUAAGAUUUGAAAACCACAUGCUUUGCAAUUAGUACUCAAUGGAUUGCUGACUUUCUUCUUGGAUUUCCCUUAGUCUAUGAUGAGGAAACUGAGGCCACGGAAAAGCCAUAGGACCUCCUUGUGGAAGAAUCUCGAGUCCCUGCCCUGAGUUGGUUCUUCAGGGCUGUGGUCCAACGAGUGAAGUCUGAGCUUCACAGACUCCCCAACACACAGGCGCCUCACAGCCUUCUUGUGCUUAGGAACACUAGAUAGCGCUUCGGUAUAUGCUUGGGAGUCAUUUGAAACAAUGAAAUCACCAACAAAAAGCACAAAAAUGUGAAAAAUGUGACACUGAAUAGACCAUGAAAAGGGUGCUUGUUUACAAAGAGAAACAAAACAAGUAGCAAGAGCAUCUCUUUAUUCAACCUCCAUUGCCUGGCUG